UACGGAGGGUGCAAGCGUUGCUCGGAAUUACUGGGCGUAAAGCGCGUGUAGGCGGUCUCGUAUGUCUGGUGUGAAAUCCCCGGGCUCAACCCGGGAAGUGCACUGGAAACUGCGAGACUAGAGUCCCGGAGAGGAAGGUGGAAUUCCAGGUGUAGCGGUGAAAUGCGUAGAUAUCUGGAAGAACACCGGUGGCGAAGGCGGCCUUCUGGACGGUGACUGACGCUGAGACGCGAAAGCGUGGGGAGCAAACGGG
rnacentral:rRNA from 1 species